GUUUCAGUAGUUUAAACAAAACCUCGGUCUUGUAAACCGAAGAAGGGUCAACUAACCCCUAAAACA